ensembl:lncRNA
GAAAGAGGGAGGCCCAGCCCAGAAAGCAGUGGGGUUUGGGAAAAAGCAGGAAAAGGGUGCAACUGUAGAGGGCUAUCAGCAAAAAGCAACUAUUUUGUCAAGCAAAGUGUGACUUUGAUUGCUUGCUACCUCUCUGCAAGACUUUUACAAACAUUUUAAAUGUUCCUCUCUAGUGAACGUCAGCAUCGAAGUGCACUAGGACAUUACAGUAGGUGACUUCGUUUGUGACCUUACCGGGCUUAAAAAGAUGACCCGAUGGGACAGUAGUGGAGAGGGUAGUAAGUUUUAAGUUCCUCGGGGUACACAUCACAGACAAACUGAAUUGGUCCACCCACACAGAAAGCGUGGUGAAGAAGGCGCAGCAGCGCCUCUUCAACCUCAGGAGACUGAAGAAAUUCGGCUUGUUACCAAAAGCACUCACAAACUUUUACAGAUGCACAAUCAAGAGCAUCCUGUCGGGCUGGAUCACCGCCUGGUACGGCAACUGCUCCGCCCACAACCGUAAGGCUUUCCAAAGGGUAGUGAGGUCUGCACAACGCAACACCGGGGGCAAACUACCUGCCCUCCAGGACACCUAAACCACCCGAUGUCACAGGAAGGCCAUAAAGAUCAUCAAGGACAACAACCACCCGAGCCACUGCCUGUUCACCCCGCUAUCAUCCAGAAGGCGAGAAAAUGAGGACAACACUUCAGCGAAAACACUCUGGCAAAUCGGCAAUGACAAAGGCCUUCAGCAAACCGAAGGGCCACAGCAGGGAUGGCGUCCCAGUCCCAUCACCAAGAGCACGGCUGAUCCAAAGCCUAACGUCCCAGAGUGCAGAGUUUGUGAUGGAGGAGCACAUGCAGCUCAGCACUGGACUGUAGACCCAAGAGAGACACUUUUCAGUGACACACUCAUCAUCACUAAAUCAAAGCACAUCACCAAAUCCAAGAAAGUGGAAUAUCCCAGCAAUCUAACCAUGAAGGUUGUUCUCAUAAAUAUUGGAACUAGUGCAAUGACAACUGUGAAUGUGGACAAUAAAGACGAAGUUGACAAAGUACACAGGAUCUUCACCCAACAGUUAAGACUCACUGUCAUGAGCAUCCCUUCAGUAUUAUCCUAAACUCCUUGAGGGAAACAGACUGCCAAGUCUCAGCAGUCACCAACAACAUCCUGACUGUAGAUGGGAGCCUCUAUCUUGAUCACCUUCUCAAAGAUGCUUCCGGCCCAAACUUCAUCCUCAGGCUAAAGGCUGAUGUGGGAGGACUUGGCCGAGCAGGUUGCAGCUCUCGUUCAACAUCUCAUUGAAAACACCCCAGCCAUUUUUGGUGAAGAUGUUGAGUGCAUUUUUACUGAGCCAAAGAAAGAACAAGGAACUGCAGAGGAUGUCAUGGUGGAGUCUUACCAGCAGGUCGACUCGUCUGAUUAUUGGGACUGAGAGAAGCAAGAAGGACUUCACUCUCCUAACAGGGAACCUUUUUCCUGCCAUUGGAGAAACUGGUCUUGAAAGAGAUUUUGGGGCUUCUGAAUGAGGUUGACUCCUUGAAAAAGCAACAUGUGACUGAGGACAGUGCUUAUAGCUGUGGGAAUCUAGACUUAAUGUCUUCCCUCUCCAGUAGGUCUAUCUGCUCCCUGAUGGGGACACAACGUUUUUGCUCAGCUCGCUGCUCCUCGCUGCUCCCAUUGUGUGUCUAAGCUCCCCCCGGUUAGGGUCCCACAGCCAGCUCUACACUCUUGUCGCCCGCCAGUCCAGCUGCGAUGCAGCAGUGAUGUGUGGCCGUGCAGACCACUCCCAACACACACACACAAAUCCCACACUUAAGGGGCUACUAAAGUGGGACAGCAGCCCCAGGGUAGGUGGCAGCAAGUCUAGGUAUGCCUUCUGGAGGUCCCCUCAUGUAGCCUCGAGGUUCUGGCACCUUUCCCAGAGGCUGGCCGUGUCCAACAGGUCCAGUUUCUCCAGCCUGUCCUCCACAGGCACCUCUCCAUCUACCUCCUCUCUGAGCUCCAAAGACAGCGCCUUCUCCUUCUGCACCGACUCUGUGUCCUCUCCCAACGAGCCCAACUCCCUCCCCUUCCUGUUCGGCAUGUCGGCACGGUUAUGCCCUCUCACUCCAGACACCACAAAGAAAUUCCCAAAAGAUUGGAGUAUGACAUUCCCAGUGGCAGUUGCUCAGGCACCCAAGGAUUUGGACGGGUAUAAUUGGUCUGAUGAGAGAAAGGGAGACUAGAAGCAUUGCCAUUCUAUUAGCAUUCAGAAUAGAGAAGACCACCAGAUGCUCACCCAAAGCCUCUGUAGUUUAAAAGGUGAGUAUAUUUAAAGCCCUGUCUCUCAACCAGACAGUGAAAGGAUUCUCUCUGAUUGGAGAGGGGAGCAGGUGCACCAGAGCCAGAAGGAUAAAGUGUUCAAGUUGUCAGAGUCAAAAGGACAGACCAAAGAAACAUCCAUUGCACACAUACAGCUGACAAAUAAAAAAAACUGUCUGUCAAGAAGGAAGGGGACGAAAGGGGACGAAAAUUACAUUUUACACCUCCUCUAACAGAAUGCUGGUGAAAAAACAGUCUGAUCAAUCUGUGGAACAGUGUGGAGUCGCUCUGGUAUCUGACACAGGGAGACCACAUCAGGAAAAUGGGGAACUGCUGGCCCAAAGUGUGCAGCUCCACAUACCCCAGACAGUGUCCUAUGGUCAAAACACUCCACUGGUCCUGCAGUCUGUCAACCAGACAAUUUGCAAAUAACAAGAAAGGAUCAAAGGCCAAAACAGAUAUUCACCUUGGUGAAGUGGUCCCUGAACAGUUGGGUGGUGGGUGCACUCCUCUCUCCCACACAUCAUCUAAAACUCAUGCCAAAACUGCAAGCACAAUCAGCCACAAGACUGCAAGCACAAUCAGCCACAAGACUGCAAGCACAAUCAGCCACAAAACCGCAUGUGCAAUCAGCCACACUAUUAGAAUAAAACUGCAAGCAACUGUCAGAAAUACUGUGAGAGAAUACUUCAACUCAAGUGACAGCCAGAAUGGCCACUUAGAUGCAAAACGGAACGAAAAAGAGCUCCUCCAGUGGCAAAAUAAAAUGUUGGAACCAACAGAAAAUGCCACAAUGCGAUCACAUGGUGAGGAGUUGCCUGAUUGUUAAUGCUCAUCAUUUGGUGUUUUGUAAUGGGCUGUCAGAAUGUAGAUCAUCCUGGGUUAUUUCACCCUCCUCUGUGUGUGUAUUUUUUGCUAAAUUAUAAAUUAAGUCAAUGAAGGAUCCCACUGGGCAUAGACAUCAGUUCAAAGUCUAAUUUUGAUUAACUUUAAGUUGAGUUGUCAUCUAAGGUGAAUUCAACAUGAAAUCAAGAAAACAUUUCACCAUGUCAUUGGAUUUAGGUUCAAAAUUAGGUUCGAAAUUAGGUUCGAAAUUAUCUUAUAUUGAUGACUUUUUGCAAAUCCAAUCAGUUUUUACACAUGGAUUCAACAUCAUCACAUUUCAUUUUUUGGUUGAAAUUAUGUGGAAACAACAUUGAUUCAACCAGUUUUUGCCCAGUUGGAUGGUGCAGAUUGAAUGCAGGCACUCAAACCACUCAGACAGAGCAUUUCCUCCAAUGGAGUAGGGAUUCAUAACCUUAAUCAUUUUCUAUACAGAAGCAUUAUGAAUAAGGACCAGACAUCUUGACAUCACUGUGAUGUAUGUGUUUCCUAAUGGGGCUGUGAUAAUCUGUCGGUGAAAAAGUAAAAACAACCAAAUUUGAGGCAAAUUAGGUAUAAGAUGCACAACUUGUAUAUGGGCAAACACAUCUUAUAUUCAGUAGUUCUUCUCGGGUGUAUGUAAAGAAACCUAAGAUGACCUGGGGUACUAGUGUAAGAAAUAACACGUAAAAAAACAAAAAACUGCAUAGUUUCCUAGGAACGCGAAGCGAGGCGGCCAUCUCUGUCGGCGCCGGAAGCGAGAUUGUAUGGUGUGCAACACAUAUUCCUGCUGUAUAGUUAACAUCUGGUUAAUAAGUAAUCACCUACUUCUCACUUUUAUUGCUAAAGAAAAAUGACCAACGUAAAUCACAUUGCAUAUAGUGAGUUAAAAUGUUUGUUUUGUUUUUGCACAGUUCAGUGCUAUUUUGCAUUUGCAAAAUGAAGCCUCAUGUAUAGAUCUCAUUUAGACGCAUUGAUAUAACGGUCUUAAACACAUAAUAACAUAUACUGUACCACUUUUACCACAUCAUUGUUUGUUUUUAUGUAUGUUUUAUCCUAGAACUGUAACUUUGAACAAUAAUCAUAUGUAGCGUUAACCUUGAUAUCAACGUGUGUGUGUGUGUGUGUGUGUGUGUGUGUGUGUGGGGGGAUUUGCACCUCUUCACCCCUGUACGAGCUUAUGUUGAUGGCACCACUGAUAAUAAAUCAAGUUAGCCCUAAACAUCUCUGAAUCUCUGAGUAUGUUUUCCCAUGCCUUCUCAGUCCCAGGGUCCUAGGCAUAAUGUUUCCUUUUAUUUCUUUAUUGAGUUUAUUUAUUGAGUUUAUUUGAGCAAGGACAAUGUACAUCAGAAGCAUUAGUCUCAGUACACUUGAGAAAAUAUGUGUUGUAUCAGAUUUAGCUAGCAGCUCAUUUCCGUCUGCAGUUCCAGGGCAGGUUAAAAUCAAAACAAGAAAACAUUAUGAAGCCAGCAGGCUGGAUGCCUUGUUACAGAGCUACAAACAAUGAUUUGUAACACUUAACUUACUAUUUCUAAUUACAGAAAUGACUUCUAAAGGCAUGCUACUUUAGGCAAUGGCCCGCUGCUGGCAGUAUUUUCUUUUUAAUGCUAUGUACCGUUAACAUGUAAUUGCUACAACUGAUUCUACAACCGAACCUACUUCAAGCUAGUUGAUUGAUAGGGCAAAGGGUAGUGAUAUGUUCCUGAGUGAUAUGUUCCUGGGGAUGUUUGAUUAUUAUUAGACUUCGUACAAUAGGUGCGAGGGGCAGCAAGUUGCAUGAAGGAUCACUGGCUGCCUUUAGAUCCCACAGCGUCCCUCAACUAUUGGGGCACGUGGACAGUCAUACCAUCCAUCCACUUCUGCACUGUCACAUGGCAACCAAGAUGGGACCUGUCAAUCAGAAGCAGAUUAAAAGGCUCAGACAUAUAGUUUCAGAAGCAGAUUAGGCUCAGACAGAUAGUUUCAGAGCAUUUACAUAGACAACUUCAGAUUUGUUUUAAACUGAAUUACUGAAUUUACUGCAACCUGUUGCUUCUACGUCAGUUCAGCAGUCAGGCCCUGUCUGGAGUAAAUCAAGAAAAUAUGUGUGUGCUUGUUUUGCUGGGGCCUUGAUCAAGUAUGUAAAUCAUAACAUUUCGACAAGCAAACACAUGUAAAUUGUUUAUGUAACCUAGUACCAUCAUCUUUGAAAUGCAAGAGAAAGGCCAUAGUGUAUUAUUCCAGCCCAGGUACAAUUUAGAUUUUAGCCACUAGAUGGUAUAGGUGUAUGUGCAAAGCUUUAAACUGAUCCAAUGAACCAUUUCAUUUCUGAUUAAAAUGUUGUAUCAAGAGUGCCCAAAUGUGCCUAAUUUGUUCAUUAGUAACUUUUCAUGUUCAAAAUUGUGCACUCUCCUCAAGCAAUAGAAUGGUAUUAUGUCAGUGUAAUAGCUACUGUAAAAUGGACAGUGCAGUUAGAUUAACA